UUGCCUGGGCACGAAACCUGGAUUUUUUGCGAUUGGUACAAAACCUGGAUCAACCGUUUCCCGGUUUCCUAGUUGUUGCCUUAAGCUUCUCACACACAAGGUAGUUUCAUACCGUUCUCAUAACCUAAAUUGUCAUCGCAUAAACUGUUUCAGCUCCUACAGCUCUGGACAGGCUGCUUUUCAUUUUGUUUUAAAACAUGAAUCCUACACUCAUCCUUGCUGCCUUUUGCCUGGGAAUUGCCUCAGCUACUCUAACAUUUGAUCACAGUUUAGAGGCACAGUGGACCAAGUGGAAGGCGAUGCACAACAGAUUAUACGGCAUGAUGAAGAAGGAUGGAGGAGAGCAGUGUG
rnacentral:lncRNA from 1 species